UACAGAGGUCCCAAGCGUUGUUCGGAUUCACUGGGCGUAAAGGGUGCGUAGGUGGUGAGGUAAGUUUGAUGUGAAAGCUCCGAGCUCAACUCGGAAAUGGCAUUGAAUACUAUCUUGCUGGAGGAUUGGAGGGGGGGACUGGAAUUCUCGGUGUAGCAGUGAAAUGCGUAGAUAUCGAGAGGAACACCAGUGGCGAAGGCGAGUCCCUGGACAAUUCCUGACACUGAGGCACGAAAGCUAGGGGAGCAAACAGG
rnacentral:rRNA from 1 species